GAAGAAAGGGGACUGAGGCUCACCUUUGGACUUCCUGAUUGACAUCCCACGGUCAGAUCUGGAUAUUCAGUGUCCCACAACUAUCCUCCUCACCAAUGUGAUCCUUCUUUGGAGCUGAGAAAUGUCAUCUUUCUUAGCUUUUCUUUCUUGGCCUGUCUUGGUUCGUCCCAUUAUGGGUAGAGCAUCCACUAGUUCCUGGAGAAACAGAGUUCACAGGUAACUUUUUUGUGUGACAGCAUUUCAUAAAAUAUCCUUAUUUCAUUUUCAUGUAAGGCUGAUAGUGCCAUUGGGGGUGGACUGCUAGAAUGGACGUCAUUUACAUGAAGAAUUUGAAGUGUAUUGUGCUACUGUUGUAGGACUUUCUCCUUAGUUCAGCUAAAAGCCAGGAUCUUGUCACAUGACCGUGAAAGAUUAGGCUCGCAGAUACUCUGAAGGGUGAGAAGAGCAGGGAUC